rnacentral:rRNA from 1 species
AACGAACGUUAGCGGCGCGCCUAACACAUGCAAGUCGCACGAGAAAGGGCUUCGGCCCCGGUAAAGUGGCGCACGGGUGAGUAACACGUAGGUAAUCUUCCCUAAGGUGGUGGAUAACUUUCCGAAAGGGGAGCUAAUACAGCAUAUGACCACGACCUCGAAAGAGGAUGAGGUAAAAGCGGACCUCUUCACGAAAGUUCGCGCCAUAGGAUGAGCCUGCGGCCCAUCAGCUAGUUGGUAGGGUAAUGGCCUACCAAGGCUAAGACGGGUAGCUGGUCUGAGAGGAUGAUGAGCCACACUGGAACUGAGACACGGUCCAGACUCCUACGGGAGGCAGCAGUGGGGAAUCUUGCGCAAUGGGGGAAACCCUGACGCAGCGACGCCGCGUGAGUGAUGAAGGUCUUCGGAUUGUAAAGCUCUGUGGAGAGGGACGAAUAAGUGUUGGCUAAUAUCCAGCGCGAUGACGGUACCUCUUUAGCAAGCACCGGCUAACUCUGUGCCAGCAGCCGCAGUAAGAC